rnacentral:rRNA from 1 species
AACGAACGUUAGCGGCGCGCCUAACACAUGCAAGUCGAGCGAGAAGGGAGCAAUCCCAGUAAAGCGGCGCACGGGUGAGUAACACGUAGGUAAUCUACCUCGAGGUGGUGGAUAACCUUCCGAAAGGAGGGCUAAUACAGCAUGAGACCACGUCUUCGCAAGAGGAUGGGGUAAAAGCGGGUCACUACAAGUAAACUCGCGCCACGAGAUGAGCCUGCGGCCCAUCAUGGUAGUUGGUAGGGUAACGGCCUACCAAGCCGAAGACGGGUAGCUGGUUGGAGAGGAUGUUCAGCCACACGGGAACUGAGACACGGUCCAUACGCCUACGGGCGGCAGCAGUGGGGAAUCUUGCGCAAUGGGCGAAAGCCUGACGCAGCGACGCCGCGUGAGUGAUGAAGGCCUUCGGGUUGUAAAGCUCUGUGGAGGGGGACGAAUAAGGGUUGGCUAACAUCCAGCUCGAUGACGGUACCCCUUUAGCAAGCACCGGCUAACUCUGUGCCAGCCGCCGCAGUAAGAC